UGGGGAAUAUUGCACAAUGGGCGCAAGCCUGAUGCAGCCAUGCCGCGUGUAUGAAGAAGGCCUUCGGGUUGUAAAGUACUUUCAGCGGGGAGGAAGGGAGUAAAGUUAAUACCUUUGCUCAUUGACGUUACCCGCAGAAGAAGCACCGGCUAACUCCGUGCCAGCAGCCGCGGUAAUACGGAGGGUGCAAGCGUUAAUCGGAAUUACUGGGCGUAAAGCGCACGCAGGCGGUUUGUUAAGUCAGAUGUGAAAUCCCCGGGCUCAACCUGGGAACUGCAUCUGAUACUGGCAAGCUUGAGUCUCGUAGAGGGGGGUAGAAUUCCAGGUGUAGCGGUGAAAUGCGUGGAGAUCUGGAGGAAUACCGGUGGCGAAGGAGGCCCCCUGGACGAAGACUGACGCUCAGGUGCGAAAGCGUGGGGAGCAAACAGG
rnacentral:rRNA from 1 species